GGAACUCUGGAGAAUCCCUGAAAAACGGGUGCCGAAGGUGCAAGUGUGUUACACGCAAAUCUCUCAGGCAAAAGGACAGAGCUG
rnacentral:ncRNA from 1 species